UACGUAGGUGGCAAGCGUUGUCCGGAUUUAUUGGGUUUAAAGGGUGCGUAGGCGGCUUUGUAAGUCAGUGGUGAAAUAUGGCAGCUCAACUGUCAAGGUGCCAUUGAUACUGCGGAGCUUGAGUACAGAUGAGGUAGGCGGAAUUGACGGUGUAGCGGUGAAAUGCUUAGAUAUCGUCAAGAACACCGAUAGCGAAGGCAGCUUACUGGGCUGUAACUGACGCUGAGGCACGAAAGUGUGGGGAUCAAACAGG
rnacentral:rRNA from 1 species